CCUUCACCUUUCUAUUUUUUUCUCUGUGAGCUAACGAAGAAGAACCUGCCACCAGCGACCGCACAACCUGGCUAUGGCGCCGACGCUCCAGAGCGUCCCCCGUUGUUCUAAGGAUACCGAUGGAUGCGCCUCGUCCUCCUAUUCAAUCUGCCUGAAGGAAUCGACCCCGGACCCCUCAAUUUGACGGCAAAUCGCCGUUCCCUUCUACGAACUUUGGCAGCAAUUUCGUCGAUUCUGGCCGCUACGUUGCUUCCCCGACCUUCCGAGCACGGCUGCAUGUUCAUGAUGCUCCCGCCGGAGCUGCUCAAGUGGUUCCCCGGCUCCAAGUCCACCACCAACAGGAUCCCCACGUUCUUCCGCGUCGAACGCAUCUUUCGCCCCGUCCUGGUUCGUCUGGCAUCGCCAGAUCAAAACUUGAGCCAAGUCUCCAGCAAGCUCGUGUGUGUGUGUUUCGCCAUCUUAUGGGGCAGUGCUUCCCGUCUUAAACAUCUGAAUCCGAUCUAGCCCAGUGGCUGGUCACGUUGCCUCAACAAGAUCGACCCAGGUUCAACUCCUCGCAGCCCAUAUCUUUUUCUUUGUUUGUUCCUUAAUCCUUGUUAUCCAUAUGACCUUGUUCAAAUUCGUCGCUGAUUCAUUUGUUCGUAUCUGAACCACAGAGUAGAUGGUCUGUACUCUGGAUGUACACUCGUGAGAUGCUGGGUUCAAUUCCAGGCUUAGAGCAUCUCCACUCGUGCCCCCGACGAGGCCCCCGAGCGACGUUUUUCCCAUCCGGACGGCGAAAUUCGGCCCAGUCGCGCCCCCGGUUCCUCGUUUUCGUCCGGAUUUGGCCCUUCAUCCAUCCGGCGAGCCCACGCCACCCCGGCCCCCGGGAGCGCUCGGGGACUCCGGACGAGUGAAAAGCGGGGAAGGGCCCGAUCUGUCGGUGACUCGACGCACGAACCCCACCGCCACGUCGCUCAAAAUCUCCCCCACCCCUCGUAUCUCUCUCGCCGCCGGCACCACCCCGCCGGCUUGUUGCCCAGAUUCCGCCGCCCCUCCUUCCCCACCUGCCUAUAUUCCGCCGUCUUUGGACGACGGCCUAUCUGGCUGCUCUUCCGCCGGCCUGUUUUCCGGCCUGCUUGCUCCUCGUCGCUCGCGGCUCGGGUUGCCUCGACCACGCUCGUCAGGUGUUCGUCCAUUUGCCUCGCCGGCCAUGGACUCGGACGAAGAGGAGGAGCAGAUGUUCGUCGAGCUUAUGCAAGAAGAGAUGGCAGCAGCCGCCCAAGACGACGAGCACAUGAUGAUCCUCGGUUGCUUGGCAAGCAUGUACGCCGGACUGGCAACUGGUCGACGUGGUGGGUCGGCACGAGGUCGCCGGAAGUGCAAGCCGAGACAGCGAAUGGAGGGCUACUGCAUGUUGUACGCCGACUACUUCGCCGACAAUCCAUUGCACGGUGAGAGUGUUUUCCGGCGUCGUUUCAGGAUGAGCAGAAAGCUAUUUC